rnacentral:lncRNA from 1 species
CUUAUAGAGAGUAGAGGUGGUGGGCUGUUCCAGGACCAGGAAAUCUGGAGGACUGAGGGAAGUUCCAGGAUAAUUGAACAGUAGAAGGAGCAUGGUUUUGAAGUUCUGAAUGUCAGGAAUGAGCCUGGGAGAAUAAAUGGAUAUGGGCUAUCUCCUUCAGGGUUUAAAGAGGCAGUUAGAUGGUACGAUGGAUAGAACUUUGGACCAGAGUCAGGAAGAUCUGAGUUCAAACACAG